UAGGGAAUCUUCCACAAUGGACGAAAGUCUGAUGGAGCAACGCCGCGUGAGUGAAGAAGGGUUUCGGCUCGUAAAACUCUGUUGUUAAAGAAGAACAUAUCUGAGAGUAACUGUUCAGGUAUUGACGGUACUUAACCAGAAAGCCACGGCUAACUACGUGCCAG
rnacentral:rRNA from 1 species